UACGUAGGGGGGCAAGCGUUGUCCGGAUUUAUUGGGCGUAAAGAGCGUGUAGGCGGCUAGGUAGGUCCGUUGUGAAAACUCGAGGCUCAACCUCGAGACGCCGAUGGAAACCAUCUGGCUAGAGUCCGGAAGAGGAGAGUGGAAUUCCUGGUGUAGCGGUGAAAUGCGCAGAUAUCAGGAAGAACACCCGUGGCUAAGGCGGCUCUCUAGUACGGUACUGACGCUGAGACGCGAAAGCGUGGGGAGCAAACAGG
rnacentral:rRNA from 1 species